rnacentral:rRNA from 1 species
ACAUGCAGUCGAGCGGCAGCGCGGGGGCAACCCUGGCGGCGAGCGGCGGACGGGUGAGGAAGCUCGGAAUCUGCCUCGUUGUGGGGGAUAACGUAGGGAAACUAAACGCUAAUACCGCAUACGACCGAGAGGUGAAAGUGGGGGACCGCAAGGCCUCACGCGAUGAGAUGAGCCGAUGCCGGAUUAGCUAGUUGGUGGGGUAAAGGCCCACCAAGGCGACGAUCCGUAGCUGGUCUGAGAGGAUGAUCA